CUCUGCCUAUCCCUUUCUAAACCUCUGCAAAAAUGGCGAUUCAGUGAAUAUCGAGAGAAGAAGACAGAUUUCGAGUGGGUUUUCAUCGCAAACAUAUUAUGAAUUGAUUAUGUAUGGUUUGUAUGGUUUUUAUCCAUAUAUAGUGGUAUUUUGUGAAGAUUUUCAAGCACGGAAGAUAACUGGUUUGCAAAUACGGUGGUUUUCCUGAAAGAUAUUGUCUCUAUGUACGCGAACAUCAUGAGGAAAUAUGUGAAGAACCUAGUAAGAAGUUUUAGGGUUGAAGAAUGUGAUACAUUCUCUAUAACCUGUUUUUCAUCUUGAAACCCAGAAGAAAUUAGAGAUGAGUUUUUCUCAUUUGAAGAUUUAAAAGGGGUUAUGUGGAGUUGGAGUUCGAGAAGCUACAAAAAUUGUUGGUAAUUUGAGUUUGUGAUGAAUUUAGGGUUCUUCAUGAGAUGUUGCUGAUUUAUGGGGAAUUCAUGUAUUACAGGGAAGAUUGAGAAUCUGGUGGUGUUAGUGAAUUCAGAUGAAGGGAGAUGGGCUUAGAAGCUACAAGAAUCAGGGAAAGAGAAUAAUAAUGGUUGUUGAGCUGAGUUUGCAGUUGAGCAGGUGCAGUGGCUAUGAGUUGGAAGCUGAGGUCAAGACCAAAAAUGGUUGUGAGUUGAGCUGGAUGUGGAUGUCGGUGAUUGAAGUCAACAGUACCUGGUGUUUAUAGGUUGAUGUUGAUGCUGCCAGUAACGGUGCAGUAGCAACAGAUGCAAUUGCAGGAGAUGGAGUUGAGGUGUGGACUGAAGUGAUGAAUGGAAGAGAGAAAAGGACUGCAACAGAUGGAUGAGUAUGAAGACUAUAUGUAUGCUUAGGAUUUGGAGCUGUAAGCUAAUGGGUUGAAGGAAUUGAAUUGCAACGGUAAAGUUCAAAUGUUGAGAUUUAGAAGACAACGCUAAUGCUGCCAAUGAUGGAGACUCAGGUGCAGGUGCAGUGCUGAGAAAUGAGGAAGUUGGUUUGAGUAAGAGAUGUUGGUUCCAACUGGUUCCAAUGCGUUUGAUGAUGGUUGUGAGCUAAUGGAGUCUACUAGUGGAUGCAGCGAGAGAUUGUUGAUCUGGCAGAGAAGAUGGUGCUGAUGAGUGGGUAAGAACUGAUGGUGUUGAUGAGUUCGUGCUGCAGAGAAUGGAAGAUUGCGGUUGCAACUGUUGUAGUGCAGUAUUGUGGAGUUGACGGAAUGGUUAUAUGUGGUGGUUCCUGGGAUGGAGGAUAUUUGUAGUGGAGAUGGUUAUUGCAGCUUAAAGCAUUGCAUGAGUUGAGCUGAAGCUGGUGCUAGUAUGUAAAGAUGGUUCAUGUGUUGUAGUUGAGGACAAGAACAAGGUCUGUAUUGCAGUGGUGAUGGUUGUAGCUGAGUGACGUCUUAAUGCAGCCAAGCUUGAUGUUGUUAUGAGAUGGAAGUGCUAUUUUAGUGAGCUGCACGAUGAAAGCAAAUGGCUCAGGCCUUGGCAAUUAGACCAGUCAGCCUGAGCUAGUCUGCCAGAUUCUGGUUACAAAAUUGUUGCCACGUCAGCAACAUGAACCACGCCAGCGAGAUGUCCACCACGUCAGUGAUGGGUUAACUGUGGUUAAUAUUUGCUUGAGUUAAGAGCGAGGGUAUUUUGGGAACAACUAAUCCCGCCUUUUAAAAAAAACUGUUAUGUCGGAUCAAGUAGGAUCAAUUUAUAACCAAUUUACAAAAAUAGGAUCAUUUUAUACCGGAAUUACAAAAAAUAUGAUCAUUUUAUAAAUGACCCAAAGAUCAUUCACAGGACAGCAAGAUUUUGAACAGAAAUGUGAAUCUUCUGGCAGUAGGAUCCCGUAACCAUAAGGAUGUGAAGGUAGGUAAAAAAGAUAUGUAUCCUAAAAGAUUGCAUAAUUUAGACACAUUUGGGUAACGU